GCUCCUCUUUGAAAUUAACAAAGUAAAAAUACAUUAAUAAAACAACACCAGAUUGCAGUGAGAAGAAAAUAAGAAAAUACACUGACAUUUUCAGACAUAUUAGUUCUUGACGGGGAUAAAACCUGUAUUCUAUGUUGACUUGGGUUUGCUUUGUUUUAUAUUUUGUUGGAAGAGUAAAAAUAUUUGGUAUGAGAGACAAAAAACGGUUUCACUCGCUUCACUCUCCAGUCCAGCGGGUGGCGCUAAUAUCACACACGUCUUUUUGCCAAACAACAUUAAAUCUCAGAAGAAGAAGAUUCGUUUCACCGCGCUCUCUGUUGUUUUGUCGUGAUGCUGGUUUAAUACAAACGGUUAGAAAUAUUGUUUCUGUAAAUAGAAAAGUACAGUUUUAGAAAUCAACAAAUACCUGUGAUAUUUUCAUCCUCACAGUCUUUAAGAUUUGAAGCUGGCAGGAAUAUUUUGAGGAGUAUCAUCUGAACUGAGAUCUGCUGCUGUGAAGAUGGAGUUUAAAGAGGAGAGUGAAGAGAACACGAAUGAACCAGAAACCUGGAGAAUAAAACACGAGGAACCAGAAACCUUGAGAAUAAAACACGAGGAACCAGAAACCUGGAGAAUAAAACACGAGGAACCAGAAACCUGGAAAAUAAAACACGAGGAACCAGAAACCUGGAGAAUAAAACACGAGGAACCAGAAACCUGGAGAAUAAAACACGAGGAACCAGAAACCUGGAGAAUAAAACACGAGGAACAAGGAGAUCCCCCAAAAUCCUACCAGAAGCUUUCACCUGCACGGAGUAACGUCAGGCCAAAGUUGCUGUUGCAAAUCAGCCUGACCCUCCGAUAACAACAACAGUGCCAGGCCUACAUGUACAUGGGUUCAGUGCAGGGCCAGCUAUGGCUACAUCUUCAAAUACCCCCCUCCCACAAGAUGAUGGUCUGUGGAUGUUUCUUCAGAGCCGAGGGAUUCCUGAGGAAAAUAUACAGAAAAUGCAGCAAGAUCAUAUUGACCGCUCGGUAGUUGGAGAAAUAGAUGAUGCCACUAUGACUGCUUACAUUCCAGCAUAUGGUGAUAGGAUUGCUACAAGGCGUUUCUGUAUGGAAAAACAGAGAAAAGGUGGAGAUGAUCUAAAAAGACUGUCCUUAUUUGAAAAACUUAGAAGAAAGUUGGGCACAUUGACAAGCAAUAAAGACGCAGAUCAAGAUUUUGAGGAGGAGCAUUCUAUGCAGCCAACAAAGAUGCAUCUGAGAAAUAACAAAAGGGCCAUGAAGAUGACAAGGAAAAUAGAACUAGGAUGGAUACACAACAAGAAACAAGUGAGAAAACGCAAUGGUGGAGGAACCAGAGUUCUUGAUAUUUCCAAGAAAGCCACAAAAACAGAGAUUCUAUCACAAGCUAAAAAGCUAUUUUUCCCCAAUGAGAAAUCGAGAAAGGGAAAGUGGGAAGAGUUCAGUCACAGCAUUGUUGACUUUCAGGAAGCAUACCUUGAUGAGGGUGUUAGUGUGGGAGAGCUCUAUGAAACACAAAAAUUGGGGAUUUUAAGAUUUUACUUGUUCACAGAGCACCUGACAAAUGGAGAUGAAGUAUUCACAGAGACGACAGAAGGAACUGAUGAACAGACAGAUGCAGCGAGUGUAAAUGAGCGACAGAAAAACACAACAGAAGAUAAUAAGCAGAUGACACAAAAACCACAUGACAGUGAACAGCAGACACACACUGUGGAAGCUUUUGUCUCUACUGCUGUAGAGAUUGUUGAUCUUACAUCUUUGUGUGAUACAUCGGAGGUCAUUUUUGGCCCUUUGCAAGGUGGACCAUUUUUAGAAGAUCUUGAUGACACAAUCUUACAUGAGCCUAUAGAAGAGGCCCAGAUAAACAUCGACGCCAAUAGCUCAACUACUGUCCAUUCUGACACCGUGUCUGCUGGCCCAUUAAGUCCUCCUUAUGAACUGUUGCAUGUGACAGUGAAACUCCACAGAGUCAAUCUCUUGGAGGAACUGAUUAUCCAAUUCAAGGAUGAAGCGAUGAUGUCCUACACUGUGAAAUACAGCUUCAUUCAUGAAAUGGGGGCAGAUGCUGAUGGCGUGUCCAGGGAUGUAUAUGCUGCCUUCUGGACAGAGUUUUUAGACUGUGCAGCAGAGGGUGCAGAUGUGAGGGUGCCAUCACUAUCCCCAAAAUGGCAAGAGGAAGAAUGGAAAUCUGUUGGUAGGAUAAUGGUCAAGGGAUUAAAGGACCAUGGAUAUUUUCCUUCUCGGCUGGCUCAAGCUUUUACAGCAGCAAUCACAUUUGGUGAACACACUGUCUCACCUGAUUUAUUGUUUGACUCACUAAUGUUGUAUCUUAGUCAGUCUGAGCGCGAUCUCUUGUCCACUGCUUUGCAAGACGCCCUUGAUGGUGAUGAUAAAGAUGAACUUCUUGAUCUUAUGGAUCGCAUGGGAGUAAGAACAGUACCAACACAAGAGAACUUGAAAGCUGUACUUCUCCAAGUUGCCCACAAGCAAAUAAUCCAGCAACCAAAAUAUGCACUGGAUAACAUUGCAGCAGUCGCAGGACCAACUCUCAGGGAAUUCUUCCCCAGUGUGCUGGAUAUGCAGAAGAUGUAUGAGGAUCUUAAACCAUCAACCCGAAAGGUAUUAAGGUUGAUCACGGCCUCUCCAGCUACUCCAGCUGAGAACCAAAGUUUGCGAUUUUUACAUCAAUACAUCAGGGGACUGGAUGAGAUAGGCCUCCGGAAGAUGUUGAGAUUCGUGACAGGGUCUGAUGUCAUCUGCAUUAAAGACAUUCAAGUCAUAUUCACCCCUUUGGAAGGGUUAUCAAGGCGGCCUAUUGCACAUACUUGUGGCCCAACUUUAGAGCUGCCAUCAACUUACAACAGCUAUCCUGACCUCCGAGCUGAAAUGGGGGCUAUACUGUCCAGCAACUUCUAUGCAAUGGACAUUGCAUAGUGUCUCACUCACUCACAUGUACAGUACACACUCUUCCCUCUUGCCCAGUUAUAGCCUUAUCAGUGCCAUCUGUUAACCUUUAAAUAGUGUGUAAAUGUGAGACAGAGCACAUAGGGGAAGUAUUUAACUUAGGUGGUGCAUUAUGAGCGCAGGGUGAUUUAUUUUUUAUUUUAUGUUUUUCUUCAGUUUUAUCCAGAAUGUCAUUACCAAACUUACUGUGGAAACAUGUUUACUGGCUGAAGAACAUUUUGUUGAUGGACUCCGAAUAUAUCCAGCCCAUAGAAACAUUUACACAUGGUAACAAGAAACAAUAAUCAGUUUGAUUUAAUGAUAAUGAUACAGGACCAUUUAGGUUGCCCUGUUUGCAGUGGGCCCAAAGUGUGUCAAAUCACAUUUGGUCAUGCUGAAUAGUUCCACCAUAAGAAGAAAAUUGCCAUUUUGACAAUGGCAACAUGUUUUGCAACGUUUCAUAUGCAGUUGCUGUUAUUACCAGACUUAAACUGUCUGUAGAAACAUCGACUGGCUGAACAUUUUGUUAAUAUACUUUUAAGGUCCACUUAACCAAAAAACAAUUAUAAGCAUUUUACACAAUGUAUGUUAUAAAUGCAUGUGGAUACAUUUUCAUUUUUAAGUGAUUUAGAUACAUGUUCCAAUAUUUUAAAUGUACUUUUAUGCAAGCCAUCAUUUCUGUUAGCAGUUUAGGAGCAUACUUUUUGGGACAAUUUAAAAGAAAUUGUCUUGUAAAGUUGCAUUUUCAUUGAGAAAUUAUAAUUAACUUGGACCCUGAGGUAAUGUCAGCUUAUGUUAAAUCUUAUUAUUGGCAGUGUUUGGCAAUCUGUUCUAACAUACAGCACUGUACAUUAGAAGGUGUUCUGCUUUUUACAAAUAAAAAGCACAGGUUUCUCUCUUGUUUUGUACGGAUGUUUUCAAACAAAUCAAGUCUUUACUGCAGAUAACACACAUGGAUCUUGUCACACACAGUAGAAUUACUGAGUUUUGACAACUGCACUGCAGUUCCUGCAUUCACCAGCACUCUUUAGACAACAUAUUUAAACAGUCAUCUCUACAUUACCAAAUUUACCAAAUAGGCCUAUUUCCUACAUGCACAGUAAAUCACACAGGGGGGAAAAUGUUGCACUGCACUGGUUUAUUUAUAUGAUGCCAAAUAAUUGUGUAAAAAAAAAAAAGUGCUUUAUGUGCAGCCCAGAGACACAUGAUUACAAGAUACAAUCAUAUGUUUGAUUUAAAGGCGAUCCAAACAUCAUGUAGGUUGCCCUGUUUACUAUGAGCCCAAAGUGUGUCAGACCACAUCUGGUGAUACGAAAUAGUUCCACCAUAAGGACAAAUGUGCCAUUUUUGACAAUGGCAACAUGUGAUACUUUUCAUUUGCAGGUACAGGAUUGUUCCCAGUUCUGUGGUUGAGAUGUACUUUUUACAUAAUGAUGAAUAAAAAAAGAGAUGGUAUGGAGCUCAGUUGGGAGAUGUCAAUUAUAAAAGAGUUUAUUAUUGAUUGCUUAAACAUAGUACUUCUGUCAAACAUUUACAGUGAAUGUCAUGGUAUAUAACCUUUUCCGUCCAAACUGCAAAUCUGUUUUUUUUCUUUUGGCUAUGAGAAGGUGCUCACAUUCAAUCAUUUGAUCCAGUAGAACAACUUUUUAAAUUUGGGUACGUAUGUAAGCACGUAAGAACAUGUAAAGAUCAAUGGCUUCCUCUGGAGAGGUUGGUGGAUGAAGACUGUUUUCUGCCAUGGCAAGGCAACAAAUGUCAAACACUAUAUUAUCACAAGGAUAUGGUCCUCUCUCCCGACAUUCCUCCCUACAAGCCUGUAUCUUCUGUUGGGAAGCCUCUUUAAGGUACUCCCUACCACCAAAAAGUUGGGGUAGGGUGUACAUCAUCGCUGGACGUCCACCUGGAGACACAGCAUUUCUGGAUGGGUGAAUUCUGUGAGUGUUCCAGAGGUGAACAACAUCCUGCAGUUCUCUCUAAAUAUAAAGGAAAAGAGUGGGAAAGUAAGAAAAUUAGUCCACAAUACCACCUGCAGGCAAAAUAAAUGCAUAUGGUCCAGUAUGAUACAGUAGAGCCAUUUCUCAGUUUCAUGCAUAUUAAAUUCUAUAUUUGAAAACAAUAAAUCUCUGUAUGUUAAGAUCUGUGUUAUAUGAUCAGGGUUAUAUGUGUCCCAUUAAUGCAGAGAAACAAUUUUCUUUCACCAAAAUGAACAUACAAGUACCAGAAUGAUAUAAACAAAAAUGGGCUACUCGUAUAACGGUAAAUAUUCCUUGUCAGUGUUUUACUAUUAUGAUGUUUUUAAGUUGAUAUUAGAUAGCAGUUUGUGCAACAUCCAUAUAACAGGAUUAAUAUUAUAGCUGAAUUAAUGUUUGUGUUGCACUUUAUUGUUGUAGAUGUAGGCUGCUGCUAAUUCUAACUACUUACACUGAGAUCCACUUAUCUCUGUAAAAUUCAACUAUAUGUAGGAAAAAUCUACAUAUAAUUUGUAAUCUACAAAUUAAUUUAAUAAUAUAAUUAAAUAACUAAUGGUUAUCGCCCAUUUGCUUCUGUUAUGAAACAGUUGUUAGACCUAUGAAAUUAGAUAAUUAUGCUCCAAAACAUUUUGGUGUAUUGACAAAAUCUAUAGCUGACUAGCAUAUCACAAUUUACAUGUCUAAAGCACAUUUCUUACCUCUAUUAUUUCAAGACAUGUGAACUGUAUUAGACUUUUGUCUAGGAAGUCACCAGAGAAGUCGUCUGAAUCUUUUAGAUCUUGAAAUAGGCUGAUCCAGAACUGUGCAUGCUGCUUCCUCAAAAAUCCCCACCAAUGCUCUAUCCGUUGGUUAUGAUUGCUUGAGCCAUACAAAUAGCAAUUUCUUGAAUAGUCCGUAUGAUCAUGUCUCAAGAACAUCUGCAUCUGUUCCAUGUAACAAUUCUCUGUCCCUAAGUCUGAGCGAAUUCGAGUGGCUGUCCCAUUCCUUGAUGACACCGCAUCAAUAAAGUAUCCAGCGAUGACCUUGGGAUCACUACUUGUAGAGUAUGCAUGUAGCCAUAUCGUCAUUCUUGAAAACCCGUCGAUUGCACCAUUGAUGCAGAUCCCAUAUGGUUUGAGUUUAUCAUAUGAAUCAACAUGCCAUAAAAAGUUCGGGCCUGGAUUAUGAUAUAAACGUCGCCGAAGACGUUUCCGGCGCCUCAGUUGCACUCCAUGGGGAUCCAGUAUUUUCAACAAUUGCCUGAUUGUCUCUUGUGUCACCACGUAGCCAGCCUGAAUGCAUUUCAGAUGCAUCAUCUUAUAUCCGUGAAGCAUACCAUAUCGGUUCAACUGGUCCUGGAGAAACACAGCAAUGUCAAGCAGAUCAGAAUGUUCUUUUCGUCUGAACAGGCGCAAAGUCUUGAGGUGCCUGCGCAAAGUUGAUGCACUAAUAACAAUACCAUUUAUAUUGCUUAAAGACAGCAGUAUCUCCCAAUGUCUCAAACCCAAAGUAAAAUAAAACCGUAUUAAACUUGAAAGGCGGGACAUGUUUACUUCCAUGCAAUCCAGCUAAAAUAGAGCCCCUGGCAGGUUUUUAAGGGAUCUCAUUAAUUCAGAAAAACAGAUCAAAAUAUAUAUUUUUAAUGAAAAAUGUAUCUCAUAAUUCUGAGAUAAUUAACUCUUUAUUCAGAAAAACAGAGCAAAAACUUUUUUUUCCAUGAAAAAUUAUCUUGUAAUUCUGAGAUAAUUAACUCGUUAAUUCAGAAAAACAGAGCAAAACCUUUUUUUUUCAUGAAAAAUUAUCUCGUAAUUCUGAGAUAAUUAACUCGUUAAUUCAGAAAAACAGAGCAAAACCUUUUUUUUCCAUGAAAAAUUAUCUCGUAAUUCUGAGAUAAUUAACUCGUUAAUUCAGAAAACAGAGCAAAAGCUUUUUUUUCAUGAAAAAUUAUCUCGUAAUUCUGAGAUAUUUAACUCGUUAAUUCAGAAAAACAGAGUAGAUUUUUUUUUCUCAAGUGAAUACAAUACGCUUCCGUAAAUAUAUGAGUCUGUGUCUAAUGAAUGAAUAUGAUAUACAAGUUUCACUUUUUGAAUGGAAUUAUUGAAAUCAACGUUUUGAUGAUAUUCUAAUUAUAUGACCAGCACCUGUAUAUAAAGAUGAAUUGUAAUUGUAAAUGUGCAAGAUUAACAAUAAAGAAUUAAAGAAUAUUGUUUGUUCUGGGUCGUUAUUAUGAACUGAAUGCGAAUGACAAACAG
ensembl:lncRNA